rnacentral:rRNA from 1 species
UAUUAUUAUGCUUGGAUAGUUAAAAGUUGGAGUAGUAUUAGUUAUGAUCUUGAAACUCAAAGAAUUUGGCGGUAUUUUAGUCUUUUCAGAGGGAUCUGUCCUGUAAUUGACAGCACACGUUUAAGUUACUUUAUUUUGUAAUCAGUUUGUAUACCGUCGUCAUAAGAAUAUCUUUUUGGAGGGGUUUAAUUUUCUGGAAGUAAAAGUAUAGAAUAUGUCAGAUCAAGGUGCAGCUAAUAAUUAAGUAGAGGUGGAUCACAAUAAUAAUAAUUAUUUAUGAAUAGAAUAAAUAAAUGAUUUCUUGAAGGUGGAUUUGAUUGUAAGUUUAUUUUAAAUAAUGAAUUGAUUUUGGCUCUAAAAUGUGUACACAUCGCCCGUCGCUCUCGUUGAAUAUGAG